CAAUAAAAAAAGCCGGAAUAGCUCAGUUGGUAGAGCAGAGGACUGAAAAUC
rnacentral:tRNA from 2 species